CUGUGAAGAACUGUUGACAACCAUGACGUAGACACACUUCACGACAUCUGGGGCAACACCUUAACCCGUACCUGAGAUAGAUAAAGACUGUGCAACUGAUGCUAGCCUGUCUCGGUGCCCGUGUUUGUGUUCAUUGGUGAAGGGCGCUCUACACCACAUGGAGAGUUAAAAUAUCCUUGCAAAUGAAAAACCAUAUCUGCUCCUUAGAUAACCACAUGGUUGUUUCUCAUGUAUACAUGCUGUCAUUUAAAUCUUCAAGAGCUUGUGAAUUGUCGGUUACAUUACGUGACGGCGAGUGAAGAAAACAUUACUGUGCAACACUUAUUCCAUGUUCUGCCCUGUCUGAUAACGGCUGUGGGAACGGCGGUGGGAACGGCGUAUUCUUCGUCCAUUAAGCGAGGUGCGGAUCUCAUAACUACCGCCAGCACCUGUCCUGUAGCAGACAUAGAGUUGUGAAGUAGACGUUUGGAUCCCAUCUACAGCCCCAUAAUGUGUGAGUGUCGGGUGUUGUGCUUGCUGAUGGCGAUGAUGGUCGCCCUGGAGUCAUCAUCAGCACUGAUUUCACCCAAAGACGACGUGAACCCCAUUUGUCUGACGACGACGCAGACGCUGAUCGCCCACCCCACUAAAUGUGCCCAGUACUACAACUGCAGCGCCCCCGCCGCUAAACGGACCUGGGAGAAGAACCUACAGGAAUGUCAACCCCCACAACUGUACAACCCCGACACCCAGAGAUGUGAGCACUACAGCAUGGUCACGUGUGGCAACAGAACAGAACCCCGGGAAAUGUGACUAUGCCAGGUAUGCAUGUCUUGGGGGAAAGGACUGCGGGCCGCCCUGUUACAUCCACACACCCUCCUGCAGGGGCCGCCCCGACGGCCUCAACGCCUACCCAAAUCGCCCCGGCUCUGGGUCCUACACUGUGUGCGUGAAUCAGAGGCUGGUCUACACCGGGGUGUGUGGCAAUUCUAAAAUCUUUGACGCUUCACUGCGCUCCUGCAAAUUGCCAAGUUCGUGGAGAGAGGUUAAAGGU
rnacentral:misc_RNA from 1 species